rnacentral:rRNA from 1 species
UACGAAGGGGGCGAGCGUUGUUCGGAUUUACUGGGCGUAAAGGGCGCGCAGGCGGCCGCAUUUGUCAGGCGUGAAAGCCCCGGGCUUAACCUGGGAACUGCGCUUGAUACGGUGUGGCUAGAGUUCGGGAGAGGAGAGUGGAAUUCCCAGUGUAGAGGUGAAAUUCGUAGAUAUUGGGAAGAACACCGGUGGCGAAGGCGGCUCUCUGGACCGAGACUGACGCUGAGGCGCGAAAGCGUGGGGAGCAAACAGGAUUAGAAACCCGCGUAGUCC